AAAGCAUGGGUAGCGAAGAGGAUUAGAUACCCUCGUAGUCCAUGCCGUAAACGAUGUGUGUUAGACGUUGGAAAUUUAUUUUCAGUGUCGCAGGGAAACCGAUAAACACACCGCCUGGGGAGUACGACCGUAAGGUUAAAACUCAAAUGAAUUGACGGGGACCCGCACAAGUAGUGGAGCAUGUGGUUUAAUUCGAAGAUACGCGCAGAACCUUACCAACACUUGACAUGUUCGUCGCGACUCUAAGAGAUUAGAGUUUUCGGUUCGGCCGGACGAAACACAGGUGCUGCAUGGCUGUCGUCAGCUCGUGUCGUGAGAUGUUGGGUUAAGUCCCGCAACGAGCGCAACCCUCACUUUUAGUUGCCAUCAUUAAGUUGGGCACUCUGAAAGAACUGCCAGUGAUAAGCUGGAGGAAGGUGGGGAUGACGUCAAGUCCUCAUGGCCCUUACGUGUUGGGCUACACACGUGCUACAAUGGUAUCUACAACAGGAAGCAAGACUGCGAAGUUAAGCAAAUCCCUAAAAGAUACCUCAGUUCGGAUUGCACUCUGCAACUCGAGUGCAUGAAGCUGGAAUUACUAGUAAUCGUGGAUCAGCGUGCCACGGUGAAUGCGUUCCCGGGUCUUGUACACACCGCCCGUCACACCAUGGGAGUUGGUUCUACCUUAAGGCAAGGUUUCAAACCCUUGACCACGGUAUAGUCAGCGACUGGGGUGAAGUCGUAACAAGGUAGCCGUA
rnacentral:rRNA from 1 species